UUUUUCACAGGCUUGACAAGUUCUUGCACUAGAUACUACAGAGAAGGCAAAGAUGAAUAUGACACAGGGAAAGUUUCACAAAGCUGGAGACUCAGGUCCUUCACAUCCUCAGCUAUGUCCCCAGAAUCCACAGCAGUACCUGACUCAGAGUCAGUGAUAAUAAGUCAUCCUUGAGUAGAUGAAUAUAUUUACAGAGUGUGCAUCUUGGUUCUUGGCUUCGUAUUGGUGGUAUAAUGUUUCAGCUUAUAGAGAGAUGAGAACCUCUAUCCCUGUGCCCAGAGUUCCCCUUUUCAAACAAAUAUUUUAUAAUGCCACCUUAAAUAUUUUGAAAUGAAGUUUGCUGACAAUAAACCUGUCUACACAUGUAUUUUAUUUUUAAUCAAUAUAGUAUCCUAACCAAUCUACAAAGGAAAAAUAAAAAUAAUGUAGUGAUGACUAUUUCAAUAUACAAAUGACUAGGGAUGAUUAUACUCAAAGACCCCGUGAAAUACAAAGAUAUUUGCAACGAUGCUCAUGAUCAGAACAAAUGCAAAGUGAAGGGGAUGAUGCUCUACUAAUGCAUAUCCUGUGUUUCAUUGUUGGUGAUAAGAGUUUUCAAAUGAUGGCCAACUCUUGGUAAAAUUUAUCAUAAAAUAAAGUACAUUCUUCCCUCAA